AGGAAUGCUUGAAUUUCUGGACUACCAAGAGGCCCAUAAAGACAGAUUCCUGUUAUGUGCAUUAUUGGCAUGCUGGACAACCUUUGGAAGUUCCAGGUACACCAUACAGAUUACUCCUCUACAUCUGUGAAAUGCUGUGAAGGCUUUCCUCUCUCGAACAAGAUUUGACUUGAGAUAUACCUUCCAGUGGAAAAACAGGAGGGCACAAACUAUCUUUUCAGAUAUGCUUCUGUCUGUGUCAUCAAUGCCUUUUUUUGCACUCACGACAUCAUCUCUUUCAUACUGGACUCCUUUUUGGGCAUCACAGCUAUGAUUUAUUUAAUUGCACACUACUGGCUUUGCACAUCAAACUGCAGAGAAAAAAAGAAUUAGGUGAUAUCAGAUGAAACUAAUGGAUGGCAGUUACAAACAAAAGUCUUCAGAUGAUGGAUAAGUAAUCUGGAAAACAACCAAAGGGGACUGAAGGCAACAAAUGCUUGCAAGGACUGAAAAAGUAAUUUGAUUUUUUCUCCAAGGAUUUGUUUAUUGAGGGCUACUAAACACAAGGAUGCAUACUCUGAAGCUUCCAUAGCCAUGGACUUUACCAGUGCAGAGCACAACAUCCAUAGUUAGUCCUGUACUUCUAGUAAAAUCAACUUAGAUAUGAGGUGCAUGCUUCCAUGCUGAAGAACUCUCUACCCGUCUUUUAAGCGCACAUGGAUUAAUCUCAUCAAUUGCUCAGUCUGGAUUUGAUUGAACACUAACACAUUUGUUCAUCUGCUGGAUGAGGAAUCCUUUGACCGGGUUUUGACCUGAAAUCUGAGGCAAAUCUGUUUGUUUACUUAUCUGAAGAUGAUUAAUGUCAUUAUUGAUUGCUGCAGUUUGUUUACUGUGGCUACAAUGUCACAGGUUAAUUCUACUUGCUGUGGUCUUAACACUGUAUCUCCUAAAUUAUUGACUUUUGCGCAUGCUACUCCUUCAUGUUGUUUACUCACAGUAAUAAACCUUCAACUUUGUUUAAAAAUAAACAACACAGCACUGCUUAAGUGACUUAAAUGUCACUCCAGGGGAAAAAGCUUGCAACUGCAUCAAAUCUUUACCCCAAAUAAUGUUACUUGCUGGUAUCCUUAGUACCCUGUUUGCUUCAAAAGUUAUAGUUUGCUUUAUGACAAACAGUUACCUUUCAUGAUACUUACAUGACUCUUGUAAUAGAAAAGCCUAGUCAAGUUCUCCAAAGUUCUCAAAAAACCCUCUCCAACCUGAUCAACAACUUCUGUUUUAUUUGAGUGUUUCUUGAUAUUCAUGAUGACCCCAUGGUAGGAAAUUUUCUGCUCUGUAAGUAUCCUGUUAUAAAGCUUGUUACAUUCAAGACCCAUAUUAUGGGGGCAGGCAAACAUACCUCUUGGAGCUGACAUCACUAAGCUAAGACAAUCCUGCCCUAAACAAAGCUGGAUUCUGCACUUCUGUAAAAUCCUAUUUUUAUUUCAAUUAAAGUUGUAAAGGGUGAGGAAAAAGAAACAUCAAAAUUUACAAUUAAAUCCAGAGAACUGUGGGAACCUCCAUCUCCACAAUUAAAUAUCAUCAUUCAAUAGUAGAUCAACACUGUUUGAUAUUUGAUCACCCAGUGCUUAAUGUAAAAACUAUAGAACUUUUUUAGGCCACAAAACUAAAUAGUCCUUAUUUUUAAAUCAUUCUUGAAGCAAUAAAUAUUGACAGCCAAUUAGGUACUUAAAACAUUCAACAGUUCUAGUGUGAAUAUCACAAAAUAUUAUAACCUUUUGAUUUCAAUACAACUGUGUUAUCUUGAGAUUUUUCAGACAUUUUGUUUCUGUCCUUAAGGGAAACUAAGCAUCUUACUGUACUUUUAGAUAAUAUACGCAAGACUGAUGCAUAUAUGUCAUGAACAUCAUUGCUUUUAAAUGCCAUUCUGAUUUCUUUACAUUCAGAAAAGGUGUCUCUACACAUAACUUAAUAAAAUUAUGUAAAGACUUCCGUGGUUUACAUUGUCAUAUCAGUUCAAGAGUCACCACAAUGAGUAGUUAAUAUAAUGUAUAUAUACAAAUGCCUGCACUCAGAAAGAAUCAUAUUAAUGCAGAAUUUCACUGGACACAGUAAAAAGCUGCAACACUGCAAAAAAUUUAUAUGUAAAUAUUUUACCUAGCACAUUGAUUUGACAAACUGUCAGGAAAAGUCUCUGGUGGAGAUAUAUUUAAAGUUACAUUGAAAAGCAAUUUAACUUAGACUAUGACUUUUAAAAGUUUAAAAAAUUAAGUAGGAUUUUUUUUUCAUGAAACAUUUACAUUCUAGUAAAAGAUUUUACAUUGAAACAAAACCGCAGAGUUCAUUUUAUGAUUUGUCUUCUUGGCCUAAAAAAGUCAAAGGUCAGAAAAAUUAGAACAUUCACAGAAAGUAUACAGUAUGAUCAUCUGAGAAUAGAGUAAGAUUUAUUUGAGCGCCAGGCACCUGUUUCUCAUGGCAGCAGGCCUCUCCAGCAGCAGGCCCAAAGCCCCAGAGCUGGGCUGGAUCACAGAUGGUCUGGAGCACAGGCAGUCAAACAGAGGGCCCUCAACAAUUCCUUAUGGAUCCUGACCACAAAGGAGCAAAUAUGGGUUGAAUAAAGAGUUUCUAUUCACAGACUCUUUAUGCUGAGAAAGACAGUUUUCUGGUUUGUAGCAGCUUUCCCCUCAGUUUUCCUAUUCGAAAAGCUGAAUGUGAUAGCAAUCAUUUUCAAAAAGUACCGAAGUUUUGAAGAUGUACUGGAAAAAAAUUAAGGAAAAUUAUUCAGCAUAUGGAGUUGUAGAACCAGUUUUUUAAGGAUUCAAAUGAUUGUUUAAAAAUCUGAUUAUAUUCGACAGAGGCACUGAGAAGAAAUGAGUUGAUGCUGGCUAUAAAGUGAAUGACCAGUGUGUGAGGAAAAAAACCCACGUAUGCCACUGUCCAAAUGAUAUAAAGCAAAUAAUUUAAUACACUGAUUUUCUUUCAGAAGUAUUUUUAAAGAAAUGAAGUCAUAUCUACCACGUCUUCUGAUUUAGAGGCAAAAGAGAAAGUUGUUGAAUUCAUACGGUAAUUGAUCAAGUAAUAUUCAGGGCACUGAGACCAGAAAAAGUAAUAUGACAGCUCUCCUUCAGGCCGCUAUUUUACCUACCUCAUUAGAAAUCAAUGCUAAUUGUCUCAGAAAAAUAAUGUCCAUAAAUGUUGACUGUACUUGUUACUCAAAUGGGAGAGUACCCUCACUCAUUUUCCACAUAUGUAUCAUAUCAGUUAUUUUCUAAAAGCAUAUUUUCUUUCUAGAAAAGUCAUCCACUUGGCUAUACAAAAGUUAGAAACUUCAAUUCUACCAUAUUAAUCCAGCACUAGGGUGAUUUCAUUAGGUAUUCCAAUGUAUUAGUAUAUACUAUUCUAAAAAAAAAUGUUUUUCUAAUAUUUUGCAUACUUUCAUGACCCCAUUUGUCCAAAAAUUUAUUUAAGAAAAGGUCAUGUCACCUGCCUGUCAAAGCUCUCAUUUCUUCCAGUUUAAGUAGAGGUUUCAAAUUUUGUUUUCCCUUUUUUAAAGUUCAAAACUUGUUAUGAAUUCUUAUCUUCUCAAAUGCCUUGAAAUCCAUUUAACAGUGCACCUGAACCUCUUGGCAGAUUUCAGAAAGCAAUUUUAGGUAUGGGAAUGAGAAAGUGAAUAGUGUAGAGUAGGGAACAUUGUACCCAUAAAACCACAUAUCUUCUGCAGGGAUUUAUACUGCUGAACAUUACUCACUCCUAGACAAAAUUUUAGAGGAACAGAAUAAAAGCAAAUGCAUCCUAAAAUUCAUCGAUUGCAAUUUUAAUGAUUUAAGACACAGCAUAGUCACACCUGAAAGAAACAGCAUUAGUAUCCUCAACACCCAAGUUUUAACAUCAUAUUUAAAUAGCUGGUGUUUCCAGGGUAGUUUAGUCAGGCUAUUGAGGGCACUACCAAGC